rnacentral:lncRNA from 1 species
UUCCUCUUUCUCCCUUCAUACAUCAUCAAGAAGGAUUUGGUGGCAGUUACUGAAGUUGAUGAAUCUGACUGAAAUUUCUUUGCUGGGUUGUGUGUUACAGGGGUUGCUUGAGGAGAGUUUAAAGAGCACUGAACAAAUCUGGCCAACUUCAAGAGAAAGGAGUCUGGAAGAAACUGAAAACAUUUCCAUCAGUCUACUGGGAUCUGGAAUUGGUUUCCCUGCUCUGGAUAGGAGUCUUCCAGAAUGGUAA